rnacentral:rRNA from 1 species
AACGAACGCUGGCGGCAUGCCUAACACAUGCAAGUCGAACGAGACCUUCGGGUCUAGUGGCGCACGGGUGCGUAACGCGUGGGAACCUGCCUUUAGGUUCGGAAUAACUCAGAGAAAUUUGAGCUAAUACCGGAUGAUGUCUUCGGACCAAAGAUUUAUCGCCUUUAGAUGGGCCCGCGUUGGAUUAGCUAGUUGGUGGGGUAAAGGCCUACCAAGGCGACGAUCCAUAGCUGGUCUGAGAGGAUGAUCAGCCACACUGGGACUGAGACACGGCCCAGACUCCUACGGGAGGCAGCAGUGGGGAAUCUUAGACAAUGGGGGAAACCCUGAUCUAGCCAUGCCGCGUGAUCGAUGAAGGCCUUAGGGUUGUAAAGAUCUUUCAGGUGGGAAGAUAAUGACUGUACCACCAGAAGAAGCCCCGGCUAACUCCGUG